GAUGAACGCUGGCGGCGUGCUUAACACAUGCAAGUCGAACGGAAAGGCCAGUGCUUGCACUGGUACUCGAGUGGCGAACGGGUGAGUAACACGUGGGUGAUCUGCCCUGCACUUCGGGAUAAGCCUGGGAAACUGGGUCUAAUACCGGAUAGGACAAUGGUUUGGAUGCCGUUGUGGAAAGUUUUUUCGGUGUGGGAUGAGCUCGCGGCCUAUCAGCUUGUUGGUGGGGUAAUGGCCUACCAAGGCGUCGACGGGGAGCCGGCCUGCGAGGGUGUACGGCCACAUUGGGAGUGAGAUACGGCCCAGAGUCCGGCGGGAGGCAGCAGGGGGGAAGAUUGCACAAUGGGAGCAAGCCUGAGGCAGCGACGCCGCGUGGGGGAUGACGGCCUUCGGGUUGUAAACUCCUGUGGCUAGGGAAGAAGCGUAUUUGUGACGGUACCUGGAGAAGAAGCACCGGCUAACUACGUG
rnacentral:rRNA from 1 species